GCAUGGCCAAAUACUGUAUUAUUUAAAUAAAGAGUUUAUGUAGCCAGACACUCUGCCAAAGUGUUGGCUUUCCUUUAAAGUAUUUAUGAAGUAUGCUGUGUUUUCUUUGUGGUAUAUCAUCAGUAAAAUUUCCAGAG
ensembl:snoRNA